rnacentral:rRNA from 1 species
UACAGAGGGUGCAAGCGUUGUUCGGAAUUAUUGGGCGUAAAGGGAGUGUAGGCGGCUAGGAAAGUCUUCUGUGAAAUCUACGGGCUCAGCCUGUAACGUGCAGAGGAAACUAUCUGGCUAGAGUGUCGGAGAGGAUAGGGGAAUACCCGGUGUAGAGGUGAAAUUCGUAGAGAUCGGGUGGAACACCAGUGGCGAAGGCGCCUGUCUGGCUGACAACUGACGCUGAGACUCGAAAGCGUGGGGAGCAAACAGG